UACAGAGGGUGCAAGCGUUAAUCGGAAUUACUGGGCGUAAAGCGUGCGUAGACGGUUGCGUAAGUCAGAUGUGAAAGCCCCGGGCUCAACCUGGGAAUUGCAUUUGAGACUGCGUAGCUAGGGUGCGGAAGAGGGAAGCGGAAUUUCCGGUGUAGCGGUGAAAUGCGUAGAUAUCGGAAGGAACACCAGUGGCGAAAGCGGCUUCCUGGCCCAGCACCGACGUUCAGGCACGAAAGCGUGGGGAGCAAACAGG
rnacentral:rRNA from 1 species